GGGUUGUGAGGUUAAGCGACUAAGCGUACACGGUGGAUGCCCUGGCAGUCAGAGGCGAUGAAGGACGUGCUAAUCUGCGAUAAGCGUCGGUAAGGUGAUAUGAACCGUUAUAACCGGCGAUUUCCGAAUGGGGAAACCCAGUGUGUUUCGACACACUAUCAUUAACUGAAUCCAUAGGUUAAUGAGGCGAACCGGGGGAACUGAAACAUCUAAGUACCCCGAGGAAAAGAAAUCAACCGAGAUUCCCCCAGUAGCGGCGAGCGAACGGGGAGGAGCCCAGAGCCUGAAUCAGUGUGUGUGUUAGUGGAAGCGUCUGGAAAGGCGCGCGAUACAGGGUGACAGCCCCGUACACAAAAAUGCACAUACUGUGAGCUCGAUGAGUAGGGCGGGACACGUGGUAUCCUGUCUGAAUAUGGGGGGACCAUCCUCCAAGGCUAAAUACUCCUGACUGACCGAUAGUGAACCAGUACCGUGAGGGAAAGGCGAAAAGAACCCCGGCGAGGGGAGUGAAAAAGAACCUGAAACCGUGUACGUACAAGCAGUGGGAGCCUCUUUUAUGGGGUGACUGCGUACCUUUUGUAUAAUGGGUCAGCGACUUAUAUUCUGUAGCAAGGUUAACCGAAUAGGGGAGCCGAAGGGAAACCGAGUCUUAACUGGGCGUUAAGUUGCAGGGUAUAGACCCGAAACCCGGUGAUCUAGCCAUGGGCAGGUUGAAGGUUGGGUAACACUAACUGGAGGACCGAACCGACUAAUGUUGAAAAAUUAGCGGAUGACUUGUGGCUGGGGGUGAAAGGCCAAUCAAACCGGGAGAUAGCUGGUUCUCCCCGAAAGCUAUUUAGGUAGCGCCUCGUGAAUUCAUCUCCGGGGGUAGAGCACUGUUUCGGCAAGGGGGUCAUCCCGACUUACCAACCCGAUGCAAACUGCGAAUACCGGAGAAUGUUAUCACGGGAGACACACGGCGGGUGCUAACGUCCGUCGUGAAGAGGGAAACAACCCAGACCGCCAGCUAAGGUCCCAAAGUCAUGGUUAAGUGGGAAACGAUGUGGGAAGGCCCAGACAGCCAGGAUGUUGGCUUAGAAGCAGCCAUCAUUUAAAGAAAGCGUAAUAGCUCACUGGUCGAGUCGGCCUGCGCGGAAGAUGUAACGGGGCUAAACCAUGCACCGAAGCUGCGGCAGCGACGCUUAUGCGUUGUUGGGUAGGGGAGCGUUCUGUAAGCCUGUGAAGGUGUACUGUGAGGUAUGCUGGAGGUAUCAGAAGUGCGAAUGCUGACAUAAGUAACGAUAAAGCGGGUGAAAAGCCCGCUCGCCGGAAGACCAAGGGUUCCUGUCCAACGUUAAUCGGGGCAGGGUGAGUCGACCCCUAAGGCGAGGCCGAAAGGCGUAGUCGAUGGGAAACAGGUUAAUAUUCCUGUACUUGGUGUUACUGCGAAGGGGGGACGGAGAAGGCUAUGUUGGCCGGGCGACGGUUGUCCCGGUUUAAGCGUGUAGGCUGGUUUUCCAGGCAAAUCCGGAAAAUCAAGGCUGAGGCGUGAUGACGAGGCACUACGGUGCUGAAGCAACAAAUGCCCUGCUUCCAGGAAAAGCCUCUAAGCAUCAGGUAACAUCAAAUCGUACCCCAAACCGACACAGGUGGUCAGGUAGAGAAUACCAAGGCGCUUGAGAGAACUCGGGUGAAGGAACUAGGCAAAAUGGUGCCGUAACUUCGGGAGAAGGCACGCUGAUAUGUAGGUGAAGCGACUUGCUCGUGGAGCUGAAAUCAGUCGAAGAUACCAGCUGGCUGCAACUGUUUAUUAAAAACACAGCACUGUGCAAACACGAAAGUGGACGUAUACGGUGUGACGCCUGCCCGGUGCCGGAAGGUUAAUUGAUGGGGUUAGCGGUAACGCGAAGCUCUUGAUCGAAGCCCCGGUAAACGGCGGCCGUAACUAUAACGGUCCUAAGGUAGCGAAAUUCCUUGUCGGGUAAGUUCCGACCUGCACGAAUGGCGUAAUGAUGGCCAGGCUGUCUCCACCCGAGACUCAGUGAAAUUGAACUCGCUGUGAAGAUGCAGUGUACCCGCGGCAAGACGGAAAGACCCCGUGAACCUUUACUAUAGCUUGACACUGAACAUUGAGCCUUGAUGUGUAGGAUAGGUGGGAGGCUUUGAAGUGUGGACGCCAGUCUGCAUGGAGCCGACCUUGAAAUACCACCCUUUAAUGUUUGAUGUUCUAACGUUGGCCCCUGAUCGGGGUUGCGGACAGUGUCUGGUGGGUAGUUUGACUGGGGCGGUCUCCUCCUAAAGAGUAACGGAGGAGCACGAAGGUUGGCUAAUCCUGGUCGGACAUCAGGAGGUUAGUGCAAUGGCAUAAGCCAGCUUGACUGCGAGCGUGACGGCGCGAGCAGGUGCGAAAGCAGGUCAUAGUGAUCCGGUGGUUCUGAAUGGAAGGGCCAUCGCUCAACGGAUAAAAGGUACUCCGGGGAUAACAGGCUGAUACCGCCCAAGAGUUCAUAUCGACGGCGGUGUUUGGCACCUCGAUGUCGGCUCAUCACAUCCUGGGGCUGAAGUAGGUCCCAAGGGUAUGGCUGUUCGCCAUUUAAAGUGGUACGCGAGCUGGGUUUAGAACGUCGUGAGACAGUUCGGUCCCUAUCUGCCGUGGGCGCUGGAGAACUGAGGGGGGCUGCUCCUAGUACGAGAGGACCGGAGUGGACGCAUCACUGGUGUUCGGGUUGUCAUGCCAAUGGCACUGCCCGGUAGCUAAAUGCGGAAGAGAUAAGUGCUGAAAGCAUCUAAGCACGAAACUUGCCCCGAGAUGAGUUCUCCCUGAGACUUUAAGUCUCCUGAAGGAACGUUGAAGACGACGACGUUGAUAGGCCGGGUGUGUAA
rnacentral:rRNA from 1 species